GACGAACGCUGGCGGCGUGCUUAACACAUGCAAGUCGAACGGAAAGGCCCUGCUUUUGUGGGGUGCUCGAGUGGCGAACGGGUGAGUAACACGUGAGUAACCUGCCCUUGACUUUGGGAUAACUUCAGGAAACUGGGGCUAAUACCGGAUAGGAGCUCCUGCUGCAUGGUGGGGGUUGGAAAGUUUCGGCGGUUGGGGAUGGACUCGCGGCUUAUCAGCUUGGUGGUGGGGUAGUGGCUUACCAAGGCUUUGACGGGUAGCCGGCCUGAGAGGGUGACCGGCCACAUUGGGACUGGGCUACGGCCCAGACUCCUACGGGAGGCAGCGGUGGGGAAUAUUGCACAAUGGGCGGAAGCCUGAUGCAGCAACGCCGCGUGCGGGAUGACGGCCUUCGGGUUGUAAACCGCUUUCGCCUGUGACGAAGCGUGAGUGACGGUAAUGGGUAAAGAAGCACCGGCUAACUACGUG
rnacentral:rRNA from 1 species